AGAGUUUGAUCCUGGCUCAGGACGAACGCUGGCGGCGUGCCUAAUACAUGCAAGUAGAACGCUGAAGAGAGGAGCUUGCUCUUCUUGGAUGAGUUGCGAACGGGUGAGUAACGCGUAGGUAACCUGCCUUGUAGCGGGGGAUAACUAUUGGAAACGAUAGCUAAUACCGCAUAACAAUGGAUGACACAUGUCAUUUAUUUGAAAGGGGCAAUUGUUCCACUACAAGAUGGACCUGCGUUGUAUUAGCUAGUAGGUGAGGUAAUGGCUCACCUAGGCGACGAUACAUAGCCGACCUGAGAGGGUGAUCGGCCACACUGGGACUGAGGCACGGCCCAGACUCCUACGGGAGGCAGCAGUAGGGAAUCUUCGGCAAUGGGGGCAACCCUGACCGAGCAACGCCGCGUGAGUGAAGAAGGUUUUCGGAUCGUAAAGCUCUGUUGUAAGUCAAGAACGGGUGUGAGAGUGGAAAGUUCACACUGUGACGGUAGCUUACCAGAAAGGGACGGCUAACUACGUGCCAGCAGCCGCGGUAAUACGUAGGUCCCGAGCGUUGUCCGGAUUUAUUGGGCGUAAAGCGAGCGCAGGCGGUUUGAUAAGUCUGAAGUUAAAGGCUGUGGCUCAACCAUAGUUCGCUUUGGAAACUGUCAAACUUGAGUGCAGAAGGGGAGAGUGGAAUUCCAUGUGUAGCGGUGAAAUGCGUAGAUAUAUGGAGGAACACCGGUGGCGAAAGCGGCUCUCUGGUCUGUAACUGACGCUGAGGCUCGAAAGCGUGGGGAGCGAACAGGAUUAGAUACCCUGGUAGUCCACGCCGUAAACGAUGAGUGCUAGGUGUUGGAUCCUUUCCGGGAUUCAGUGCCGCAGCUAACGCAUUAAGCACUCCGCCUGGGGAGUACGACCGCAAGGUUGAAACUCAAAGGAAUUGACGGGGGCCCGCACAAGCGGUGGAGCAUGUGGUUUAAUUCGAAGCAACGCGAAGAACCUUACCAGGUCUUGACAUCCCGAUGCUAUUUCUAGAGAUAGAAAGUUACUUCGGUACAUCGGUGACAGGUGGUGCAUGGUUGUCGUCAGCUCGUGUCGUGAGAUGUUGGGUUAAGUCCCGCAACGAGCGCAACCCCUAUUGUUAGUUGCCAUCAUUCAGUUGGGCACUCUAGCGAGACUGCCGGUAAUAAACCGGAGGAAGGUGGGGAUGACGUCAAAUCAUCAUGCCCCUUAUGACCUGGGCUACACACGUGCUACAAUGGUUGGUACAACGAGUUGCGAGUCGGUGACGGCGAGCUAAUCUCUUAAAGCCAAUCUCAGUUCGGAUUGUAGGC
rnacentral:rRNA from 1 species